rnacentral:lncRNA from 1 species
CAAGGACUUCAGCCCCACUGAGUCCCUUUCUAGGAAAACCACGUCUUGUAGCCAUGCGAUAAUAGCUCAGCUUGCAUGAGACAUGGGGGCCAAAAAACCUGGCCCCAGGGAGCCAGAGUGCGGCCACCUGGUCUGCUCUGAGAAGGACUGUGGCCAGAGGAGAGGGCCUGGAUGCCUUGCACCAGAAAUGAGGGAGAGAGAGAACCAAGGGGAUGUGGAAGCCUUCAGAUGGGUCUGGGGACAUGUGCUGGGUGGGACACCCCCAUUCCACACUCAGUGCUAAUGCCUUACACCCACUACCUCUGGGCAGCUAAGUGAGGUAGCCCUUCUUAUGCCUCUCCUCUCCAGUGAGUGGGUCCUACAACCAGUGCUUGAGAGCACGGCCUCGGGACCAGAGCACCUGCCUUUCCAUCCAGUCCCUGCUUCUCAUGAGGAAGGUGUCCUUGGGGUGACACUACGAAAAGAGAUCAUCUGUAAAGGAGGUAAUAGGGUGGCCUGUGAUAUCUAUGUUCCUGUUACCAUGAAGAGAUAAUAUGAAGUUUUGACCUCCAGGGAGAAAGAGAAGAGAGACAUUUGAAAUACUCUUCACUUCAUCCUAAAGAGGGAGAGAAAAUCUUUUUCUGUCUGGUGUUUUUCAAAAUUUUGAUGAUGGACUCACAUCAAGGAUGAAGAGCUUUGAUGUCAUUUGAACACCACCACCAUCACCACCACCAGCAUCAACAAACAAACAAGCAAACAAGCGUGAACUCAGGAGCCCUGUGGCCCAGCCUCCAGUCCAUUUCCUCACUGUGAUCUGGCUAAGUCACCUCCCCUCCACCUCAGUUCAGUCACCUACACAACAGGAAUGGUGGCUCCUGGCGUGAAAAGUUCUUAGGAGCAUUCAGCAUGAUGCUGUGUGGAGCACUUGGAAACUGCGUGUGCAUCACCUCAUAUUUCUGGCCACAGGUCAUUCAGACAUCUGCCCUUUGCCCUGGAGGAGAACCACUAGGGACUUGUGCCCAUAAGCACCAAUUCUGGCUUUUACCCUACCCAUCCUUUGCCAUCCCAAACUAUGCCAUCAACAAAUUCUAGAAAUCAAGUUAGAAAUGCUGUUCCCACGAGGGUCUCUGUGGUCUCUCAGAACAACAAUCAGCUGGCCCUGCUGGGCAGAUGUUGCCCAAUCCUAACCCACACUUAGCUAUCAACUUAAUCAUUCUCAACUAAAAACACCUACCUGAACACUUUUAGGGGUUAAGAAUAGUAUAAUCUCACUUAGCCAUUUGCAUUUUUUCUUCUUUUUACAAAAAGAAAUUUAUCUUUUUUUUUUUUUGAGACGGAGUCUUGCUCUGUUGCCCAGGUUGGAGUGCAGUGGCGCAAUCUUGGCUCACUGCAAGCUCCGCCUCCUGGGUUAGCGCCAUUCUCCUGCCUCAGCCUCCCGAGUAGCUGGGACUACAGGUGCCUGCCACCACGCCUGGCUAAUUUUUUUGUAUUUUUAGUAGAGACGGGGUUUCACCGUGUUAGUCAGGAUCGUCUUGAUCUCCUGACAUCGUGAUUCGCCCUCCUCAGCCUCCCAAAGUGCUGGGAUUACAGGCGUGAGCCACUGCGCUCUGCCAAGAAUAGUAUAAUCUCACUUAGCCAUUUGUAUUUUUUCUUCUUUUUACAAAAAGAAAUUUAUCUCAUUAUUAUGUUUAAUCAGUUUCUUGAGGUAUAACUUAAGUGUGCUAAAAUUUGCUCUUUUUAGUGUACAGGUCUAGGAUUUUUGAGAAACACAUAUUCAUAUGUGACCACCCCCAUGAUCAACAUAUGGAACAGUCAUUUGCCACCCAAAAUUACCUUGUGCCCUUUUGUUGUCAGACUCUUCUUUCUCCAGACCCUGGCAACCACUGAUGGAUUUUCUGUCCCUAUAGUUUUGCCUUUUCCAGAAUGUUCUGCAAAUGUAAUCAUUUAGUAUGUAGCCUUUUAAGUCUGAUUUCUUUCACUCUGCAUAAUGCAUUUGAGAUUCACCCACGUUGUUACCUGUUACAAUGGUUUGUUCCUUUUUAUUGCGGAGUAAUAUUCCCUUGCAUGGAUGUACCACAGUUUGGGUAACCAUUCAACAGUCAAAUGAGAUUGAAUUUGUUUCCAUUUUUUGGUGAUUAUAAAUACAGCUAUAAACAUUUGUGAAAGUGUUUUGUAUGUACAUACAUUUUUCUUAGACAUUUGGUUUUAAGAGAUGUAUUUAGGUUUAGUUCCAGAUGAACAAUGAGAGACUGAAAGACUUAAGGGACCCCUGAGAAGAGCAGAGGGAAUAUUCCCUGAGGCAGCCAUCAGUCAGACCUGGCCCUGUCAUUUAAAUGUGGGCUAGUGGUAGCAAGAUGCUGUUAUUAUUUUCACCAAGGACAUUUUUUGAGUAGCAAUUAAAAUGAAGUCUAUUUCUCUGAGCCCCUGGAGAAGAACAUAAGCACAUGAUGGUAACCAUCAAUUUAGUGGGCCUAACGUUAUCUAGGUGGUUAAUGUUUCCAUGGCUUCUGGCAAUUCCCAGUGUAAGUCACCUGUGUAUACUGGGUGGAUGCUUCUUUAAAUUAAAGAUAAGCUGUUCAGCUUAAUAACAGCUAAGGGAGAAUAUAGAGCCCGUGGGUGAACUGUUUACUAACAAGCUUCUUCAGGGUCAUUCAACUUGAAUGAACUCUCUUUUAGGCUAACUUGGUUUGUGGAGGGAAUGCAUGUUUCUUAGUUAAAAUAGUUACAUUGGAAUCCCAACUGUGCACAGGACUUCAAGGGUAAUUAUGAACCCCCACUGCAGAUUUCAGGCUUAGCACCAAUUCUCCUUGCUUUCUACUUGUAUCCAUCAAAAACAGAAGUUACGAUGGAGUUACAGCUAUACUUGUAAGGGUCUCAGUGAACCUCUCCCACUAUUCUGCCUUAUCACCUUUGGGUUCCUGUGUUCUCUACCCCCUCCCCACUGCAUGUUUUCAUUCAGCCAGGAAACAUUUACUGCCUGCCUGGUAUCAAGCCCUUGCAUGAGGGUGGGAGCUCAUAAAGAUGACUACACUAGAGAAUCAUUUGACCUUUCUCAUGUAGACCUCAACAUGAAUGAGUUUCAAUGCUGAUAGGGCAAUCAUUACCUUCAGACAAAUUUUCAGGAACAGCCAAGACUAGAGAAUGUAUGGCUAAAACACAGCACUAUGCAUUUAUAAUAGUCAUGGGUUCUCCUGUUUUAAUUGUACAUGGAGAAUAUUUCAGCUUUAUUUGUAUGGGCUGCUCUUAUGUAAAACAUUAUUUCAAUGAGGAAAUGUGUUUGGGGUUCUAAAUGACUAACUUACAAACACAACUUUGAAUAAAGUCCAUGAAUAAUUUGAGGAUUUAUGUCUAUCAAUGGCUGAUUUACCAGAUUGUUGGCUUUGGGUUUAUUGGUAUCCAUGUUGAGAGGCAUCAGAUCAUCCAAGGUUUAAGUUUCGUCCUGACCACUGACUAGCAUUGAGACCUUAAUGGGAUUAAUAACAAUGAUAAUGAUAGUGACAAGAGCUAGCUUUUCAUGAGCACAGUGGCUAAGAGAGUUAGCAUCAGUUCUAGCUGCUUUCAUUGACAUAGAUGUAAAUGGGGAGGGAAACCAUGACUAGACUCAAAUCUCUGCUCUAACGUCUGAUACCUGAAUAUCACUUUGCAAGCCACGUCAUCUCUCUAAGUUGUAGCUCUUUGUCUGAAAAAUGUGGAUAGUUAAUACAUUAUAAAUAAAUUAUUAUUACAUUAAUACACAGAAAUUCAUAAUGCUAUUGUGGGGAUUACAUGAGAUGAUGGAAGUAUUUAAUCUAGUGUCUUGUAUAUGGCAAAUAAAAAAUAAAUAUUCACUGCUGUUAAU